rnacentral:rRNA from 1 species
ACUCAAAUGAAUAGACGGGGGCCCGCACAAGCGGCGGAGCAUGCGGAUUAAUUCGAUGCAACGCGAAGAACCUUACCAAGGCUUGACAUGUGCCGGUAAAACGCAGAGAUGUGUUCCCCCUUUGGGUCGGUGCACAGGUGGUGCAUGGUUGUCGUCAGCUCGUGUCGUGAGAUGUUGGGUUAAGUCCCGCAACGAGCGCAACCCUCGUUCUAUGUUGCCAGCACGUGAUGGUGGGGACUCAUAGGAGACUGCCGGGGUCAACUCGGAGGAAGGUGGGGAUGACGUCAAAUCAUCAUGCCCCUUAUGUCUUGGGCUUCACGCAUGCUACAAUGGCCAGUACAAAGGGCUGCGAUACCGUAAGGUGGAGCGAAUCCCAAAAAACUGGUCUCAGUUCGGAUUGGGGUCUGCAACUCGACCCCAUGAAGUCGGAGUCGCUAGUAAUCGCAGAUCAGCAACGCUGCGGUGAAUACGUUCCCGGGCCUUGUACACACCGCCCGU